AAGCCGACAGGUGCUGAGAACCACACGAUUUGGACAGCGACAUCCCUUAAGGGAGGAUCUAUUCGUGGGGAUUCGCUAUAUCAUCUUCCAUCCUCUCCUCCUUACUAGGAUAACAUACAGGUACCUGGAUGGAGGCCUGAGGUUGGGUCACUUCAAGGGAACUGUGUUUGGACUUUGGAAUAACCAGUGAGGGCAGAGACGCAGCCACGUCUGGCUGCUGGUGGCCUGUCUGGGCGCCGUGACCCUGUCUGUGAUAGUGGCUGCGGGGAUCCUUCGUCCUCCCAGCUGUGGGACUUCAAACGCUGCUCAGAGAGUCGCUUCUCCAGGAUGAGGAGGAUCCUUCACCUUAGGGCUCGGGGUGUUUUUUUGCACACAAAGAAAUAUAAGAUUCUGUGUUAAAUGAAAAAUACAUUUAUUUAAAAUAAAUUUAUUUUA